CCUACGGGAGGCAGCAGUAGGGAAUCUUCCACAAUGGACGCAAGUCUGAUGGAGCAACGCCGCGUGAGUGAAGAAGGGUUUCGGCUCGUAAAGCUCUGUUGGUAGUGAAGAAAGAUAGAGGUAGUAACUGGCCUUUAUUUGACGGUAAUUACUUAGAAAGUCACGGCUAACUACGUGCCAGCAGCCGCGGUAAU
rnacentral:rRNA from 1 species